rnacentral:rRNA from 1 species
GAUGAACGCUAGCUACAGGCUUAACACAUGCAAGUCGAGGGGAAACGAUAGAGAAAGCUUGCUUUUUCUAGGCGCCGACCGGCGCACGGGUGAGUAACGCGUAUCCAACCUGCCCAUCACUUGGGGACAACCUUGCGAAAGUAAGACUAAUACCCAAUGACGUCCAUAGAAGACAUCUGAAAGGGAUUAAAGAUUUAUCGGUGAUGGAUGGGGAUGCGUCUGAUUAGCUUGUUGGCGGGGUAACGGCCCACCAAGGCGACGAUCAGUAGGGGUUCGGGGAGUAAGGUCCCCCACAUUGGAACUGAGACACGGUCCAAACUCCUACGGGAGGCAGCAGUGAGGAAUAUUGGUCAAUGGUCGAGAGCCUGAACCAGCCAAGUAGCGUGGAGGAUGACGGCCCUAUGGGUUGUAAACUGCUUUUAUAAGGGAAUAAAGUGAGCCUCGUGAGGCUUUUUGCAUGUACCUUAUGAAUAAGGACCGGCUAAUUCCGUGCCAGCAGCCGCAGUAA